AAGUCCCGCCCUGCCCGUGAAGAUUUUCACGGCCGCGGUAUUCUAACCGUGCAAGGUAGCGUAAUCACUUGUCUUCUAAAUAAAGACCAGUAUGAAUGGCUAAAUGAGGACAAACCUGUCUCCUGCUCCCAAUCAGUGAAAUUGAUCUUCUGGUACAAAAGCCAGAAUAAUAACAUAAGACGAGAAGACCCUGUGGAGCUUAAAAUUGCUGUCUACUUAUUAAACCUAGCAUUAAUUUUAAGUUGGGGCGACUUCGGAACAGAAUAAAACUUCCGAGCAGGGAGCCACCCACCUCCUAAUAAGGCCCACAAGCCAAUACAGCCGACCCAGUCACACUGAUCAACGAACCAAGUUACCCCAGGGAUAACAGCGCAAUCCCCCUCAAGAGUCCUUAUCGCCAGGGGGGUUUACGACCUCGAUGUUGGAUCAGGACACCCCUAUGGUGCAGCCGCUAUUAAAGGUUCGUUUGUUCAACGAUUAAUAGUCCUACGUGAUCUGAUU
rnacentral:rRNA from 1 species